UGCGUAGGUGGUUUCUUAAGUCAGAGGUGAAAGGCUACGGCUCAACCGUAGUAAGCCUUUGAAACUGGGAAACUUGAGUGCAGGAGAGGAGAGUGGAAUUCCUAGUGUAGCGGUGAAAUGCGUAGAUAUUAGGAGGAACACCAGUUGCGAAGGCGGCUCUCUGGACUGUAACUGACACUGAGGCACGAAAGCGUGGGGAAGCAAACA
rnacentral:rRNA from 1 species